rnacentral:rRNA from 1 species
UGUAGGAUAGGUGGGAGGCUUUGAAGCGUGGACGCCAGUUCGCGUGGAGCCAUCCUUGAAAUACCACCCUGGCAUGCUUGAGGUUCUAACUCUGGUCCGUAAUCCGGAUCGAGGACAGUGUAUGGUGGGCAGUUUGACUGGGGCGGUCUCCUCCUAAAGAGUAACGGAGGAGUACGAAGGUGCGCUCAGACCGGUCGGAAAUCGGUCGCAGAGUAUAAAGGCAAAAGCGCGCUUGACUGCGAGACAGACACGUCGAGCAGGUACGAAAGUAGGUCUUAGUGAUCCGGUGGUUCUGUAUGGAAGGGCCAUCGCUCAACGGAUAAAAGGUACUCCGGGGAUAACAGGCUGAUACCGCCCAAGAGUUCAUAUCGACGGCGGUGUUUGGCACCUCGAUGUCGGCUCAUCACAUCCUGGGGCUGAAGCCGGUCCCAAGGGUAUGGCUGUUCGCCAUUUAAAGUGGUACGCGAGCUGGGUUUAGAACGUCGUGAGACAGUUCGGUCCCUAUCUGCCGUGGACGUUUGAGAUUUGAGAGGGGCUGCUCCUAGUACGAGAGGACCGGAGUGGACGAACCUCUGGUGUUCCGGUUGUCACGCCAGUGGCAUUGCCGGGUAGCUAUGUUCGGAAAAGAUAACCGCUGAAAGCAUCUAAGCGGGAAACUUGCCUCAAGAUGAGAUCUCACUGGGAACUUGAUUCCCCUGAAGGGCCGUCGAAGACUACGACGUUGAUAGGCUGGGUGUGUAAGCGUUGUGAGGCGUUGAGCUAACCAGUACUAAUUGCCCGUGAGGCUUGACCA